rnacentral:lncRNA from 1 species
CCCGUCUCCCCAGCACAGACUCGGGAGCAACUCCAGAGCCUCCUGCAAGAUGCUGGUGGUUCUACUGACAGCGGCCCUGCUGGCCCUGAGCUCAGCUGAGAGCUCAUACAAAGAGUCUGAGGACCAACACCAGGGCUUUGGUCUGGCACACGAGACUCCAGUGGAUGAUGAUGUUAAAGAUGAAGGCGAUGGUGAAGAUGAAGGCGAUGGUGAAGAUGAGGGUGAUAGCAAAGAAGAGGGUGAUGAUAAACCUGAGAAACCACCCAAGCCACAUCCUCGUCCUCCUCCUCCUGGACCACGUCCAAGACCACCCCAACCCGGAGGCCAGCCUAAGCCUCCUCCACCUCCUCCUCCUGGACAACAACAUGGACCACCCAAACAAGGAGACGAGAAGCAGAAUCGCACUACUCGUUCUUUAAAUCAGCAAGGUCCACCCCCACAAGGAGGUCAGCAGCAGCCCAGUGGUCCUUCUCCUCCUGGAAACCAGCAGGGCCCACCCCAACAAGGAGGCCCACAGAAUCGCCCCCCUCGUUCCUUACAUCAGCAAGGUCCAGCCCCACAAGGAGGUCAGCAGCAGCCCAGUGGUCCUUCUCCUCCUGGAAACCAACAGGGCCCACCUCAACAAGGACGCCCACAGAAUCGCCCUCCUCGCUCCUUAAAUCAGCAAGGUCCAGCCCCACAAGGAGGUCAGCAGCAGCCCAGUGGUCCUUCUCCUCCUGGAAACCAGCAGGGCCCACCCCAACAAGGAGGCCCACAGAAUCGCCCUCCUCGUUCUUUAUAUAAGCAAGGUCCACCCCCACAAGGAGGUCAGCAGCGGCCCAAUCGUCCUCCUCGUCCUGGAAACCAGCAAGGUCCACCCCAGGAAGAAGGUAAGCAGCUGUAUUUUCCUCAUGACAUCCUGGAAGGCCCCACUGUGCGUCCCAACUUCCCUCAAAGGAUAAACCACCCAGAAUACCCCAGGGAUUGAGCUCAAUGAUCUCAGUGCAGUUCCAGAGUGAAUGAGAAGGUGACGUCCUUCAGAACAUGACCCCGUGGGAAGAACGCAG